rnacentral:rRNA from 1 species
UACAGAGGUCUCAAGCGUUGUUCGGAUUCAUUGGGCGUAAAGGGUGCGUAGGCGGCGCGGUAAGUCGGAUGUGAAAUCUCGGAGCUUAACUCCGAAACUGCAUUCGAUACUGCCGUGCUUGAGGACUGGAGAGGAGACUGGAAUUUACGGUGUAGCGGUGAAAUGCGUAGAUAUCGUAAGGAAGACCAGUGGCGAAGGCGGGUCUCUGGACGGUGACUGACGCUGAGACGCGAAAGCGUGGGGAGCAAACAGG